UUUUGCUAAUAUAUUUUUGUCUUAGUGUGUUGUUGUUGUCAAUUGUCAUUGCAGUGUCAGUGGCAGGGCAGAAAUUGGACCAGGAGAUAUCAUGGAUUAGGACAGAGCGAGAGGCUGUCUCCUUCAGCUGCAAAGACAAUGAUCAGUGUACAACGUAUGUCUACUGGUACCAGAAGAAGGAGGGAGAACAUUUUACCUUGAUUCUUGAGCUGCGGAAGAAUCAAGCUGUGAAUUAAUGAAAAAGAAAGUGUUUUGCACCACAGGAAGUCAGAGGAUCUGUUUGAGACGACACACUCCAACUGGUUUUUCACCUCUCAUCUUCAUAAUCAACUAUAUGAUCCAAACCAUACUUCAGUAAAGAUCUGUUGAAUCAGUCUCAUGUUCAGUGUUAUAACAUGUAGCUUUUUAUUUCCCCAAUUCUUAAGCACAUAUUCCCUGAAAUGGACUGUGGUAUAAUAAUAUUCUCUCUUUUUCUGGUGGCUGCUUCAGGACAACGGCUGCAAAAGGACUCGAUAUCAAAGACUAGGAGAGAGAAACAGAGUGUCUCCUUCGACUGCAAAGUUACUGGUCGGUGUGGUAACCUGGUCCACUGGUAUCAGAAGAGAGAGGGUGAACCAUUUACUUGGAUUCUAUACUAUAAUUCUGGUGACAAUUCUGACAGCCGUGCUACCACUCAUCCUCAGAGAGCAGAUUUCUCCGUUUGGAGGGAGUUUGACUCCAGUAAUCUUAUGAUCAAGUUUGUUAAAGUGUCCCAUUCUGCCACCUACUAUUGUGCCUGCUGGGUCUCGGGAACCCACAGUGAGAACUACGGCAUUCAACGAAAACCCAAAGUGACGCUGUACUCAGCGUCCAACUCUGAGUCUAAUGAGAAGACCACCCUGCUAUGUCUGGCUAGAGACAUGUUUCCAGACUUGGUCAAGAUCUCAUGGAAGAUUGAGGAUGCAAACAGCGGAAGAACGGAGGUGCCCAAAGCAGUGGGGGAACAGCUGGAGCAGAGGGAGGAAGAACAGACGACCAGUAUGAUCAUCAUUGAUAAAGAGAAUACGUACAGGAACAAAUACAUCUGUUCUGUGGAGCAUGAAUUGGGUGCUCAACAUUUUGACAUCCCAAAAGAUACUCCAACCACCAUGUCUGCACCAGCGUUCAGAAAUGACACGCAGGAGUCACUGACUCUGCAGUGUACCGAAGAUUCCUUCCAGUCAACGUGCAGUCUGAACCUGGCCUCUGUGGUUUACACAGUGAUGAUAGUGAAGAGCAUGGUGUACUGCUGUGGGCUCUCUCUCCUGCUGCACAACAGGAUCCUGGGAAGAGGACCCAGCACCUGAAGACCUAUAUGAGGAAAAUCAUUUAUGUGCUUUUUUACAUUGAUACAAUGUUGUUGUUGUUGUUGUUGUUUUUUUACAUUGAUACAGCUUACAUGACAUUUUCCUUGCCUAACACUGCCUGCUCAAAUUAACGAAGUUGCUCAAAAUAACCAUAUUAUUUCAGAAGAGGAUGCCUUUGUGAACAAAAUGUUGCAACAACAAUUUAUCUGUAAAUGAUUGUAAAAUACAUUUUUACAGUUCCGUGCUGUUUUCGGUGAAUAAAGUUUACUUAAAACCCCAAAAAUAUUGCAUCUCUUUACUAUAAGAUCAUCUAUUCAUAUUUGGGAAAAUGUUAUUUAAUUGAAUCUCAUCAGAAGCGGAACAAUAAGAUUGUAAGUUCACCAAUGAUCUGUUUUCAACUUGUUUGCUUCAAUGUGCAUGUUCCCGACGCAGAUGUUGAGCCUAGACUUAAUAGUGGUGGGAUAAUAUGGUUCAUGUUUCUUUGGUGUUCUAAGGACAUGUGAAACGAUAGUUACUGGAAACAAGACAUAGCUAGCUGCUGAACCACAGCUCGAGUGUGUGAAGAGAUGGUUAUCCAAAGCUGCUGGAUGAUUCACUUGGCCUUGAUCUGUUUUUACCUCUAGUAGUGGGUUCACAGCUCUUGCCAUCAAAUUGAAGAAUAUGACAGCGAUGGCAGAUGAGUCCGUAAUGGUAGUUUAUGGUUCUUGCAUUUGUAGAAUUAUAGAUCUAUGGCAAAACAAACUUUUUACACUUUUGUUUAUGUGUACAUUUUACCUUGAAACAAUCAAAUUAAAUUAAAUCAAGGUUGGAGAGUUUAAUUUGUUUUUAACAUAUAUAUUUUGCAAGGAAAUGAACAUUGUUAUCAAGAGAAGUAUUUUCCAUGUUAUUGUCAUGUUAUUACCAUUUAUUCUGUGCUUCAAUGUAAAGUGCUACCGAAAUGUCUUAUUAAUUGUUUUCUUUUCUCUACAUCGAAACCAUGAAAUAACACAUAUGGAAUCAUGUAGUAACCAAAAAAAGUGUUAAAUAAAUAUAUUUGA